rnacentral:rRNA from 1 species
ACCCUUAGAUGUUCUGGGCCGCACGCGCGCUACACUGUCGGAUGCAGCGAGUCUUAACCUUAACCGAAAGGUUUGGGUAAUCUUAUGAAAGUCCGACGUGAUGGGGAUUGAUCAUUGCAAUUAUUGAUCAUGAACGAGGAAUUCCUAGUAAGCGCGAGUCAUCAGCUCGCGUUGAUUACGUCCCUGCCCUUUGUACACACCGCCCGUCGCUACUACCGAUUGAAUGGUUUAGUGAGAUCUCCGGAUUGGCGCCAUCGAGGCUUCGCGGCUUCGACGGAUUGCCGAAAAGUUGAUCAAACUUGAUUAUUUAGAGGAAGUAAAAGUCGUAACA